rnacentral:rRNA from 1 species
AACGAACGCUGGCGGCAGGCCUAACACAUGCAAGUCGAGCGCCCUUUCGGGGGAGCGGCGGACGGGUGAGUAACGCGUGGGAAUAUGCCCUUCUCUACGGAAUAACCUCGGGAAACUGAGAGUAAUACCGUAUACGCCCUAUGGGGGAAAGAUUUAUCGGGGAAGGAUUAGCCCGCGUUGGAUUAGGUAGUUGGUGGGGUAAUGGCCUACCAAGCCGACGAUCCAUAGCUGGUUUGAGAGGAUGAUCAGCCACACUGGGACUGAGACACGGCCCAGACUCCUACGGGAGGCAGCAGUGGGGAAUCUUAGACAAUGGGGGCAACCCUGAUCUAGCCAUGCCGCGUGAGUGAUGAAGGCCUUAGGGUUGUAAAGCUCUUUCAGCUGGGAAGAUAAUGACGGUACCAGCAGAAGAAGCCCCGGCUAACUCCGUG